UAUGGCAGAAUAGUGCAAUGGAUUUAAGCCCCGUACAUAAAGUAAACCUUUUAUUAAAA
rnacentral:tRNA from 1 species